GAAUAUUUGACAAUGGGGGCAACCCUGUUCCAGCCAUGCCGCGAGUGUGAAGAAGGUCUUCGGAUUGUAUAGCACUUUAAUUUGGGAGGAAGGGCUUUAGGUUAAUACCCUGAAGUGUUGACGUCACCAACAGACUAAGCACCGGCUAACUCUGUGCCAGCAGCCGCGGUAAUACAGAGGGUGCAAGCGUUAAUCGGAAUUACUGGGCGUAAAGCGCGCGUAGGUGGUUCAGUAAGAUGGGUGUGAAAUCCCCGGGCUUAACCUGGGAACUGCUUUCAUAACUGCUGAGCUAGAGUACGGUAGAGGGUAGUGGAAUUUCCUGUGUAGCGGUGAAAUGCGUAGAUAUAGGAAGGAACACCAGUGGCGAAGGCGACUACCUGGACUGAUACUGACACUGAGGUGCGAAAGCGUGGGGAGCAAAC
rnacentral:rRNA from 1 species